rnacentral:rRNA from 1 species
GACAGAGGCCUCGAGCGUUAGGCGGAAUCACUGGGCUUAAAGCGUGUGUAGGCGGAUCGUUAAGUACCUUGUGAAAUCCCACGGCUCAACCGUGGAACGGCUGGGUAUACUGGCGGUCUUGGGCCAUUCAGGGGCGACUGGAACAAGCGGUGGAGCGGUGAAAUGCGUAGAUAUCGCUUGGAACGCCGGAAGGUGAAAACAGGUCGCUGGGGAUGUGCCGACGCUGAGACACGAAAGCCAGGGGAGCAAACGGG